UGAAAACUUUCAAUGUUUUAUUUUUGACUGCAGCUGUUUACAGAAAUAUAGUUGCGAGUAUACAAAUGUUCCAAUAGAAGCAAAAUAUCUUUUUAAUAUUUAACAAGUUAUCACAGAUAGCUAAAAACAUAGAUGCAAAUGAAGUUCCCCCAGAGAAUAAACUGAAGUAUCUGGUGUCAGUGCUCUGAAAUACCAACUAUGAAAGCCAUAUACACAAAAAUGUAACCCUUAUAUCAUUGCAGGACAAUGGAAGAAGGCAGCUCAGUGGUUGAUCAGUGUACUCAAGCAAAUAAAAUUAAAUUAAAAACUUAAAUGGCAGAAUGGUAGCUAAACCACUUGAGAACAGGUUAAUGAAAUAACUGUAGUAUACUUAUUAAAAGACUAAAACAAAUGAAUGAACUCAGUAAAAAGUAUCCCAAAAAAGUAAUAAAUACUUGGAGCUUAUCAAUUCAAAGUAAGGGAACAAGGUGAAGCAGAUACAUUCAUUAGAUCAAAAGAAAUUAGCUCAAUGUCACUGGAGUCAGUUUGUCACUGAAAGUCAUAAACACUUCUGUGCAGGAUAGUUCUUUAAUCUGAUUCCAAAGUCACUCUCCAACAUCUGAGAAGGCAUGUUUGUGUACGUGUGUGUGUGUUUGUGUGUGCUGUCCUGAGGCUCAUUAGCUAAAAUAAUAAUAGUUAUACAAACUAUCUAAAAU
rnacentral:lncRNA from 1 species